ensembl:lncRNA
GGGGGGCUGUGCUCGCGUCGAUAGUCAAUGCGCCGGUCGCCUCGAACGACGGCCCGCUGCAUCGACUCACGCUACGCGUGUCUCGCGGUCAGCCAACGUGGACCGUCGGGGUAAUUGGUGGCCCCGGCUGGGUGUCCGAUCCGGACCCACGGACAGCGGCCAAGAAAGGGGCCAUAACGCGGAGUAAUUGCUUGUGGUUUUAAAUUGGCUCCCGAUAGAGUGCGGCCAAAGUCAUCUCCACGGUGUCUCCACCCACCCGCAGAUUCUCCCCCGUAAAGGAGAAGAGAAAAGAAACGCACUUUGGAGUGAAAAUGUGAAACAAAAGCACGGUUAAAAGAUGGAGGCGUUGGUCUCCUGGGGGGGCGGCGGGGCGCGGGGCCCGGGACAGGGGUGAGGCAGCCGAGCAGUUUAACCCCUCUCCAAUUAGCAGCGCCACGGACCAGCACUGCAGUACACCAGUACGCGUCCCUCAACCCUCAUUAUUCCACCGACUAAUUUUCUGACAUAGCUCGCAGUCCCUCCCCGGAUGUAACGAGGCUGUUAAUUACCGCCGCGGCGCCGCCGACGAGCGGUGUGAAGGACGGAGGAGCGAGCGAGGGCGGGAUGGAGGACUCUCGUUUUUUAGCGAAUCCUGUGGUACGAUAAAAAUGUAUCACCCAAACCCCACCGAGGGGACCUGGGUAUGCUAAUCAGGGCCGCGUUGCCCAAAAUAAGAGCACGCAACUUCCACGAUAUCUCUCGUUCUACAUUAAUGAUCAUUGGGGAGAGCGUUUCAUCCCAAAGCCGGGAAAUGUGUUUCUUAUUGUUAAGCGAACUCCUCGCAUGACAUCAAAGUGGGCCCGAAGAACGCGGCGCGGUGACUCACGGAGACAUCCCGAACCUCCCGUCUUGUGAUUCCAUCAAGGUGACAUUGCAGGAGAAGAAUAGAUGCCACCUCCAACUGUCCUUUGUGACAGCGGCUGGUGAUCCGAGCGCUCUUCUUGUGUGCAGCUGUGAUGUACCAGAGCACCGCUGAGAGGCAGAACACGGCCCCUUUCAUUAUUCAAAUCAUGGGAAGCAGUGGACAGAGUAAGAGGGCAGGGCGAAGGGAUGUCGGGCCCAAAGUUACUGAAAAGCUCAUGAAAUAGAAAACACCACGAAGAGCCCUCUUUUCCCACGCGUUCUGCCUCACAUCCCCACUUUGUAAAAGUGCCAAGUGCAGCUAUUCUAGAUCCACCUAAUAGACCAUAACUCUAACGCAAUUAAGGGCAACUUAAAUGGGGAGCACUUUUCUGAUAAGUGCAUUGUUAUGGGGUUGUUACGGGAUUUUAUUGUAUUAUUAUAACAAGGCAAGUGAAAAUAGCUGCGCUGGAGAAGGUUAAGCCAUUAUUUUUUAAUUACAAAGGUCAUAAAAAUAUCCAGAUAACAAAAUGACUUGAAGUACAUGAAGAAAUGACCGGCAUUCCAUCCUGGGAUCUGCAGCACUGUCCACUACUCACAGUCAUUAUUUUUUAUUUUCUUAAUAAAAAGGAAAAUAAACAUUGUGGUCAUAACUUCUGUAUCUGUAUGAAAAUACGACCUGUGUAGGACAUCACAGUCAUGGUGCGUUUCCUCUCUUUUCCUUUAAUCUCUUGUUCUGUUUUCUCGCAUUAUGAAUCCGAAAGGAUAUUUCUGGCAUCACAGUUUAAUUAUUUCCUAUUCUCUCUGGUGCAGUUGUGUGUAGAAUAACUUGCUAAUGAUAUAUGACAGUACUACGCUUUGGAGAGAAUAUAUAAGCCUGCAACCAUAUAAAUCCACUGUGCUGUAUUUUAAGCUCCUUAUUAAUGAUGUUGUUAGCGACCUGCGAUGCCGGGAUCUGACUAUACGAUAUUUCUGUGUUUGGGAGAAGAUCACUGUGUCAGAUUAAGCUAUUUAAAAGUCAUAAAUUGUUGCAGUAACUUUCCCAAUAAACCUGGGAGUCUAUUCCUUGGAUCACAACAUAUAUUGUAUCUUGCAAUCUUCCUGACUGGGACCGACUAGUUUCAAUGGAGGCGGAGUGCAUGUAAGGUCCCUCUUCUAAUUUUUUAGGGAAAAAAUGAAAUAAAAAAAUCUGCGCUGCGCAAAGAAUGGGAAAACUGGGGCUUCUCAACACUACUACAUUGUGUGUUAUAGCCUGAGCUGACACGGUACUGCUAACACAUAGCGCCGCUUUGUGCCAGUGUGCGCGGAGGCCUGGCGGCUUGCCAAGCUAACGAAGCUAACAAAGCUAACAUCAACAAGAGUGCAAACAGCAGCAACAGUGCCGACGGCUCCAGGAUUGUUGGCCUAGGGUGGAGUUGGACGGCCGAGUUGCCAAGGUUCCUGCGGCAGUGCAGUGGGUGGCUACGUCGUUAUCAAGGGUUAACCUCCCCAUUAGCGCAGUGCGCGGUAUUAGCUCGCCGCACGCGGGGGCCGCCGACCGGGUCGCACAAACAAAGCAUAGAAAAGUGUUAGAAAGCAAGUAGCUGAGGAGGUUUUGGCCGUCAAGAAGGAAGCCGUGCGAGACUCCGUUGGGGGCUCCGGUCCAAGCCGGGAACACGCAGAAGACCGGCCCUCUGAUUAAAUGGAUGCUUUAUUUAUGCUUUAAUAUUCAAGCCAUGCGUGUCGCAAAAAAAAUAAUAAUAAAAGGGUUGCUAUGAAUUCUUAGAAACAGGUAAUGUAAGAAAGAAAAAAACCUGUCUUUGUUUUGAUGAAUAUGGGAGAAUCCAUUUGAGAUUCGUUCAAAGCUCGAGGCAGCGGUAAAGGAUUGACAAGUGUCUCAGAGGUAUAUAACACACAAUAUCUGCUUUAAAUGGGUCAGCCUUGAAGCAGAUUUAUUGCAAUGUCAGUAAGACUUGUUGAACAGAAACUAUGUACCUAUAAAAGCUUUUAUUCUCACAAGGUGCAAAGGGUUCACAAGGUCAUUGUCUCUGCUGAACAAAGAGCGCUCAGUAGCUCCAGAGCUCCUCACCCUCCUCCCCAGAAUUACUAUUCAGUCUGGACCGUACGGGUUCUUCCCUGCAGCCUGACCGGCGCCCCGGCCCGGUUGGCCUCUGGUGGAACCGCAUGAUCUAACACGUCUACGCAGCACAUCGCAACUCGGCGGCAAAGAUAACAGGCAUUAAGAGGAACUGUAAAGAAAUUGCAAAUCUUCUUCCCGAGGGUCUUUUUUUCUUAUAUGGGUCACGCAGAGGCAGCGAAGACCGUCACCAAAUAAAAGUUCCUCACCGCGGCGUUAAGCGUCUGGCCUCCAACAACCCAAAGGCCACAGCGCCUCGGCCUGAUUACCAUGCUAAAGCUUUGCGCCGCAGCAGUUGGGAUUGCCCCAUGAUUUCAUAAUAUAUUGUUUUCACGGUCUCGCUAGCGGAGCUGUUGAAAUUAUACAUUCAUUAAGCCAACUGCCCAUUACGGCCGGCCCGCGCAUGUAAAGGUUUUGAAGGCUAAUAUGGAUGUGAAGAAGGAAAAGGCUGUAAAUGAACAAGUGGGUGUGUGAGCAAUAGAAAGGGUGAGCUCGCGGUGGCAAGGUUACCUGUUUCCAAUAUCUAUGAGAGGCCCGUCCAUUUAUGUGAUAUUGAGUUUUCACCGCGAGGCCCAUUUGGGUCCCGUUCCACCGCUCAUUUCGUCUGAUUUAGUGGGCUGCGCGUGUGCUAUGGCAUCUAUUCAUCUGUGUUUAACAUCUCCAGGGCCACGGGUUCACCUGCCUCCCCAUGUUCCCACUGGAGCUUAUUAAGCGCCGCCGCUAACGGGAGCACUCCCAGUUAAUUACAUAAAUGGAUAUGUACACGCCAAAAUGUAGCACAUCCUGGUUUUAUCUCCUAAAUCAUUUCACAUAAAUCUGACUCGAUGUCCCCCGAGCAAUGGCUCCCAACGAUGAUUGCAUAGUUCACUGGCGCUUCUUCCAGGAUAUUUUCUCGGAUUUGACUCCUGUUUGCGCCUCGCGACGGAACGUUGUCUCGAGGCCGAUUCUACCUCUUCUUCACCCUCCAGAUUGGUAGAAACAAUGUCUCUCUCUGUUAUUUAUGCCGUCAUAUCUUUGACUCGGAUGACAAAUACAUCUUGAGUAUAUUGUGCAGAUGAAUCAAUGUAAAUUAAGUCUGAGGGGAAUUAGGUUGAUCUACUUUGGAGAUAAGUUGAUUUAACAUGCCUUUAAACUACGCCGUGCAAAUGAAGGCUUAGAUAAAAACCAACAUUUUACAGACUUGAGAGAGGUUCUCACCUGAAGCAGGCGACAUCAUACAGCAGUUUAUUGUGUUGGAAGAGUCGCGUGUUCAUCUGCUUACCGCUGCAUUUGGAUAAAUAUCUACAGGGACGCAUUUAAAGCCCAUAACAGCAUGCAAAGUGACCAAUAGUGAGACAGCUAUUAAUAUUUUCUUUUAUGUUUAGGAAAAUUAAACUCCCACUUCUCUUCCACCCUCAUGUAAUUAAAUCCAAAACCCAACGUAACAAUCAAAAUGAUUAUAAAUAUUCUGACAAAAGCCUUUGAUGCUUAAUAACUUAUGUAUAAAUAGAAGUCACAGGAGAUGGCAUUGUGAAGCAACUUCUCUAAUUUCACCAAAAGUUGCAUUUGCUUUCGAGGUAGAAGACAAAGAGGAAGCUAAAAAUAUCUGCAUUUGAUGUUAAUGCCAAAGGAAAUACGUGCGGUUUUUAAGAAAAUACUGUUUCUGAUUGUGUCAACAUCCUUCCUGAGAGCUUUAAAUUUCCAGACAAAAAGACAGAUGGUUGAAUUUGAGGGGUUUUGUUUGACAUGCUUGAUCAUUUUCACUAAUUCAAAGCAAACAGAAACACAGGUUCCCAAACGCCUUCUUUUUUUUAACACUUCACAACCUUUAAUUGGCAGACUGCUGGGCAUGUGCUUUUCAAAGUUCACUUUUUCUAACCUUGUAGGCAAAAAUCAAUAAUUUCCCUUCAGCCCAGAGGUGCUUAACACGUACUGCACCUCUCCGCAAUCAGCAGCUGCAUCCUAAAGCAUCAUAAACUCCCCCUCCAAAACAAAAGAACAAAAAUAAGUCCACGUAAAUUACUCGAACCCUUUGCACUUGACAAGCGGCCAAGGUUGAGCCCCAAAGCAGCGCCGACUGAGUGGGUGGGAGGAGCAAAGACACAAAAAACAAGCCCCGCUGUUUGUGAACAGGGAUUCAUGGCAGAACUUGUGCGUAAGUUAGUUAGAGUCCAUGUUCAAGGUUCUUCUUUCUUUUCUUAAACGGCAGGAGAGAAAAAACAUGAAGGUGAGGAAGACGUUGGACUGCUGCCUUCCUCAAGCAGGACACCCGGGCUCUCCGCUGUGGGCCGCACCAUCAAUCUAAUAUUAAUCCAACAAUAAUAUUAAAAAGAACCAGCCCGGGUGUAAUAUCACCUGGCGCCACCAUUCAUCUCAUCAAGUGAGUUCAGUGACGGGUGCAGAGAGUUAAGUACAGUUCACGAGGGGGGAGAACAAAGAGCGACAAGUGAUGUGUGUGGGUUCAAAUACAACACACACACACACACACACACACACAAACACAGCAAAAGGUAAGCAAAAAUAGCCGCCUUCGCAAAGAGCUGCUAUUCAAUAUUCAGAGUUACUUGAUGAUUUCCACCUCAAAGAGCGCAUCUAUCUAUUAUUUCAUACGCUGGGAGGAAGGCGAAUUGAGCCCACACAUGCAUGUGGCCGCGCUCAGAACAACACAAGCUUGAGACGUAUUAUUAGUGAUCAGGGGUGGAAAUGCAUGCAAGAAGCACUUUCUUCAACUCAGAUGGCCCCCGAAGGAACAAAGGAGACAUCUCAAUCCUUGAUGUAUAGAUUUCCUCUCGUCUUCGUCUCACAUACCUGAUGUCUUCCUUUGUAAUUGUAAGACAGUUGUUGCCAAAGGAAACCAGUGAUCCACUUAAGCCCCGGAGACGUUCCGUAUAAUUCCGUCAUCUGUUCAUGAGCCCCGAUCUCAGCGUGAAGGGAUUGUCAGAAUGGAAAUAAUACUAAUAAGGACAAUGACGUUGAAGGUCAAACCGCCCGAAAACAACCUGAAGUUCUUCACUCAAUGUCACGAAUGUCAAAUCGUUAAGUACCGAUCGAUGGCUUCAUAUGAAAGUGACUUCCACAGGUUGUCUUUCAAAAGGUCACCUGGAUCGGCGUCUUCGCGGAUACGCUGGAUUUUCUCACAUCUGCCGAAAAAAAACAAAAGCCCCCAAAUCCUCUCCUGAUCAGGGCUUCAUAAGGCUGAUAUAUAGAAGAAAAUGUUCCCCCGACAGAGAGUGGCCUGUUUAUAGUCCGUCGUCUUUGUUCAGACUUCGGGGUUUUGGGAGGCUUGGCAUUUGCAGUUAACACCUGACGGAAUCUAAUUAACAAGGGACGGGAGUAUUUAAUCACGUCUUACGAGUUUGCAGUGCACCCUGUACUUCAUUUAUUAAAAGUAUGAUUGACUUUAAAUAAAGCCAUCAUUCACUGUCGUGGCUCUGGCAUUCUGUGCACACUGAAGGUCUAAUCUUAUUGAGUGAAGACUUUUCACAGUGAGCCUUUACUGUCGGGAUUUGCUAAAAAACUAAAGGAAAACUGCAAAAGCCGUGUUUACCAGUUAUUAAGAUAACUAAGUAUUAAGGUAACUACGUAUUGCAUUAAGGUAACUAUGUAUUUCAUUAGGGUAUCUAAGUAUUACAUUAAGGUAUCUAAGUAUUGCAUUAAGAUAACUAAGUAUUGCAUUAAGGUAUCUAAGUAUUGCAUUAAGAUAACUAAGUAUUGCAUUAAGGUAACUACGUAUUGCAUUAAGGUAACUAUGUAUUUCAUUAGGGUAUCUAAGUAUUGCAUUGAGAUAUCUAAGUAUUGCAUUAAGAUAACUAAGUAUUGCAUUAAGGUAACUAAGUAUUGCAUUAAGAUAACUAUGUAUUGCAUUAAGGUAUCUAAGUAUUGCAUUAAGAUAACUAAGUAUUGCAUUAAGAUAACUAAGUAUUGCAUUAAGAUAACUAAGUAUUGUAUUAAGGUAACGAAGUAUUACAUUAAGAUAACUAAAUAUUGCAUUUAGGUGUCUAAGUCUUACAUUUAAGUAAGAUUAAGGCGAUUAAAUUGAAUAUUAUUGCUGGGAAUCUUGGCUCACAGUGAGGUUGGCCUGUUCAUAAGCGUUAGCCUGGGAGGGUUGUCAUCACCCGUCUCAACCAAUCAGAGCACAGGGGGCGGGCCUAAGGCGGCUGCAGCGCUCAGGUGAACGGGCUUUUUAUUACGUUUUCUGGAGUUGAUUGAACCACAGUUAUUUGUAACCACUACUGUCCUGUUUUGAAAUUCUUCAUCCCGACACCUGAAGCUCAUUCUUCACCCUUUGGCGGGGGCCCGACCUCAAAGCUGAGAGCCACAGGACUAAACCCCCCCCACAGUGGUGAUGCAGCUAACUCGCUCCACCUCAGCCAAGUAAAGGAUCGCUGGACUUCAUUUAUCAUGAUCAAACAGUUUAUCUGCAGCAUGACUUUUUACGUAUGUGAAGCAUGUCGUUGCAUUUAAUUACAAAAUUGAGAAGCUACAAUUCCCAGCAGAUUGAGGUAGAUGUAUGCUAUAUGCUGUAUCCAUUCAUUAUAUCAAGUAGGCUGGUGGUGUGAUUAAAUUUGAUUAGUUAGAGUGGCUGCUGAUUUAUUCUCUCCCGUUCUUGUACCAGAUGUCUAAUAAUCGCGGCCGCGUCGGUUCCAGAGCCGCGGUGAUGCAGCCCGGCGCACAAGCACCAGUCUUCUGCUCGGCGAUCCGCUGCAUAGAUGCAUGAUUCACUUCAGGAAUUAGUCUAAUCAUUGCACGCACGCAUCGGAAUCAGACGUGGCAGAGAGCUGACAAGACAUAUACAGUAAGGCUCUUCUCACUGGUGAGCAUGUAGCUCGUACUCAGCAAAUCCGUCAAAUUACAAUUCGUUUUCAAAGCAUUAGGAAUUCUGCUAAUUUGUUCCUGGGAGAUGUGACCAAAUUGUAAUGGAAUGUACUCAACGCGUAGUAAAAACCAUUUGUUGGAUUAGGCCUUUAGUGAACCGAGUGGUAGCGUAACAGGGGGAGCAAGACAAACGCAAUAAAUAAAACAAAACACAUGGUCCUGUGAUUAUUGCGAGUGGCAGCAGAGUUUAGUUGCGUCGAUACACACGGCGUAGAAUAAAUGGUAACAAAACCAACACUCUGGAGGAAAUUAUCAUCAUCAUUUCUGAGCUCAAACUGUGCAAAUGUGUGGUCGAACAAACAAAAGCAAAUUUGUUGCAAAUGCGGCCGGAUGUGGUGCAGUAAUUGCUUAGAAAACAAAGGAAGACAAAAGCUAAUCAAAACAAAUGCCGUGCAUUAGUUACAAGUGCUCGGCGGCCAUGAGGGGAUGUUACAGCCCAAUGACUUCUUCAUUUGAAUUUGAAUAAUGGCAACAGGCCCCCGACAGGGACAAAUCAGGCCACAGUCCGAAAUACGCGGCUUCAACGCUUCCCCGCUACGCUCGUCCUUCAUCAUGAACCAUAAUAAACCCGCAUGGGGCGCCUGCGUGGGCUCAGGGUGUCUCAGCCCACGGGAUGGACUUCUUACCAGAAGCCAUUAGGAACCCAGAGUGAAUGAAUAAAAACUAACAAAACAACAAAACAAAAAAAAAGACUUGAAGCGAAGCGCGUUCUAAGUUCUAAGGGUAAGCGCGGGAGUGACUUUCAGCCCGUUCCUGCUUUAAUCACGGUAAAAAUCAAGCUGAUUAACCGUGUUGGUGGGAGGCCCGUAGAGCGGCGGAUCCCUCUCCCUGCACAGCCCAUUCUUUGAUGUUGUUGUUUUUGCGCGUUGCACCGCCCCGUCAUUUGAAUAUCACACGGAGCGGGGGCUCCUGCUCGGCCACUCGCUGCGCCUUUGUUGCCGUGAUUAAAGCAGGUGUCGCGCAGGGUUGUGUUUGUUAAUGACAGUUUGCAUUUAAAUAGCUGUCACUCGCCUGUCAAAGGGGGGAAGGGGAGGAGGGGAAAGUGUUUGUUUCCGGCCCUCCGGAACGUAUCUCGUUUACAUAUGCUUAACCUAGCUUUGCAAAUGAGCCGGCAAACUUUUGCAGGAGUGUACCUGUGAAGACUUUUCACUGAUCCCGGCAAGUGGGAAAAGUGCAAACUUUUGAAGAAAAAGGAAAAGGGAGGUGAAGUGUGGGGGGGGGCUAACCCAGUUGGAGGUGUUGACUUGUACGUAUUUGUUUACCUGAAUAUAAUUCAUUCAUUGGAAGGUUUUCUUGCACAACGUAGUGAAUGAAACACAUCUGAAAUACAAGGGGGGGGAGAGACUGAAAUGAGGACCACAUUUGGAUU